rnacentral:rRNA from 1 species
GGACCCGCACAAGCGGCGGAGCAUGCGGAUUAAUUCGAUGCAACGCGAAGAACCUUACCAAGGCUUGACAUAUAGAGGAAAGUUCUGGAAACAGUUCCCCCGCAAGGUCUCUAUACAGGUGGUGCAUGGUUGUCGUCAGCUCGUGUCGUGAGAUGUUGGGUUAAGUCCCGCAACGAGCGCAACCCUCGUUCUAUGUUGCCAGCACGUUAUGGUGGGAACUCAUGGGAUACUGCCGGGGUCAACUCGGAGGAAGGUGGGGAUGACGUCAAAUCAUCAUGCCCCUUAUGUCUUGGGCUUCACGCAUGCUACAAUGGCCGGUACAAAGGGCUGCAAUGCCGUGAGGUGGAGCGAAUCCCAAAAAGCCGGUCCCAGUUCGGAUUGAGGUCUGCAACUCGACCUCAUGAAGUCGGAGUCGCUAGUAAUCGCAGAUCAGCAACGCUGCGGUGAAUACG